rnacentral:rRNA from 1 species
UGGGGAAUAUUGGGCAAUGGGGGAAACCCUGACCCAGCAACGCCGCGUGAAGGAAGAAGGCCUUCGGGUUGUAAACUUCUUUUACCUAGGGACGAAGGACGUGACGGUACCUGGAGAAAAAGCAACGGCUAACUACGUGCCAGCAGCCGCGGUAAUACGUAGGUUGCAAGCGUUGUCCGGAUUUACUGGGUGUAAAGGGCGUGUAGGCGGAGAUGCAAGUCGGGAGUGAAAUCCAUGGGCUUAACCCAUGAACUGCUUUCGAAACUGUAUCCCUUGAGUAUCGGAGAGGCACGAAAGUGUGGGGAUCAAACAGGAUUAGAUACCCUGGUAGU